UACGUAGGGUGCAAGCGUUAAUCGGAAUUACUGGGCGUAAAGCGUGCGCAGGCGGUUUUGUAAGUCUGACGUGAAAUCCCCGGGCUCAACCUGGGAAUUGCGUUGGAGACUGCAAGGCUGGAGUCUGGCAGAGGGGGGUAGAAUUCCACGUGUAGCAGUGAAAUGCGUAGAGAUGUGGAGGAACACCGAUGGCGAAGGCAGCCCCCUGGGUCAAGACUGACGCUCAUGCACGAAAGCGUGUGGAGCAAACAGG
rnacentral:rRNA from 1 species